rnacentral:rRNA from 1 species
GAUCAUGGCUCAGGACGAACGCUGGCGGCGUGCCUAACACAUGCAAGUCGAACGGAACUGUUUUGAAAGAUUUCUUCGGAAUGAAUUUGAUUUAGUUUAGUGGCGGACGGGUGAGUAACGCGUGAGUAACCUGCCUUCAAGAGGGGGAUAACAUUCUGAAAAGAAUGCUAAUACCGCAUGACAUAUCGGAACCACAUGGUCCUGAUAUCAAAGAUUUUAUCGCUUGAAGAUGGACUCGCGUCCGAUUAGUUAGUUGGUGAGGUAACGGCUCACCAAGACCGCGAUCGGUAGCCGGACUGAGAGGUUGAACGGCCACAUUGGGACUGAGACACGGCCCAGACUCCUACGGGAGGCAGCAGUGGGGGAUAUUGCGCAAUGGGGGCAACCCUGACGCAGCAACGCCGCGUGAAGGAUGAAGGUUUUCGGAUUGUAAACUUCUUUUAUUAAGGACGAAAAAUGACGGUACUUAAUGAAUAAGCUCCGGCUAACUACGUGCCAGCAGCCGCGGUAAUACGUAGGGAGCAAGCGUUGUCCGGAUUUACUGGGUGUAAAGGGUGCGUAGGCGGCUUUGCAAGUCAGAUGUGAAAUCUAUGGGCUCAACCCAUAAACUGCAUUUGAAACUGUAGAGCUUGAGUGAAGUAGAGGCAGGCGGAAUUCCCCGUGUAGCGGUGAAAUGCGUAGAGAUGGGGAGGAACACCAGUGGCGAAGGCGGCCUGCUGGGCUUUAACUGACGCUGAGGGACGAAAGCGUGGGUAGCAAACAGGAUUAGAUACCCUGGUAGUCCACGCUGUAAACGAUGAUUACUAGGUGUGGGGGGUCUGACCCCUUCCGUGCCGGAGUAACACAAUAAGUAAUCCACCUGGGGAGUACGGCCGCAAGGUUGCAACUCAAAUGAAUUU